CACCCCUCAAGCGCAGCUUGGUGUUGGGGCUCUAGGGUCUUUGGACCGGUAGGCCCCGAAAACUAGUGGCGGGCUCGCUGUGACUCCGAGCGUAGUGUUCUUUCUCGCUCCGGACGUUCAGCGCGUCCCUGCCGUAAAACUCGUGAAAACGAACCCG
rnacentral:misc_RNA from 1 species